rnacentral:rRNA from 1 species
UACAGAGGUCUCAAGCGUUGUUCGGAUUCAUUGGGCGUAAAGGGUGCGUAGGCGGCGCGGUAAGUCGGGUGUGAAAUCUCGGGGCUUAACUCCGAAACUGCAUUCGAUACUGCCGUGCUUGAGGACUGGAGAGGAGACUGGAAUUUACGGUGUAGCGGUGAAAUGCGUAGAUAUUAGGAAGAACACCAGUGGCGAAGGCGGCUCACUGGCCCGGUACUGACGCUGAGGCGCGAAAGCGUGGGGAGCAAACAGG